UUCCUACGGGUGGCAGCAGUGGGGAAUAUUGGACAAUGGGCGAAAGCCUGAUCCAGCAAUGCCGCGUGAGUGAUGAAGGCCUUAGGGUUGUAAAGCUCUUUUACCCGGGAUGAUAAUGACAGUACCGGGAGAAUAAGCUCCGGCUAACUCCGUGCCAGCAGCCGCGGUAAUACGGAGGGAGCUAGCGUUGUUCGGAAUUACUGGGCGUAAAGCGCACGUAGGCGGCGACUCAAGUCAGAGGUGAAAGCCCGGGGCUCAACCCCGGAACUGCCUUUGAAACUAGGUCGCUAGAAUCUUGGAGAGGUCAGUGGAAUUCCGAGUGUAGAGGUGAAAUUCGUAGAUAUUCGGAAGAACACCAGUGGCGAAGGCGACUGACUGGACAAGUAUUGACGCUGAGGUGCGAAAGCGUGGGGAGCAAACAGGAUUAGAUACCCGAGUAGUCGC
rnacentral:rRNA from 1 species